rnacentral:rRNA from 1 species
GACGAACGCUGGCGGUGUGCUUAACACAUGCAAGUCGAACGGUAAGGCCCUUUCGGGGGUACACGAGUGGCGGACGGGUGAGUAACACGUGAGUAACCUGCCCUCAUCUCUGGGAUAACAGUCGGAAACGGUUGCUAAUACUGGAUAUGAGCUUGCAAGGCAUCUUGUGGGUUGGAAAGAUUUUUUUUGGUUGGGGAUGGACUCGCGGCCUAUCAGCUUGUUGGUGGGGUAGUGGCUCACCAAGGCUUCGACGGGUAACCGGCCUGAGAGGGCGAGCGGCCAGAUUGGGACGGAGAUACAGCCCAAACUCGUAAGGGAGGCAGCAGUGGGGAAUAUUGGACAAUGGACGGAAGUCUGAUGCAGCAACGCCGCGUGCGGGAUGACGGCCUUCGGGUUGUAAACCGAUUCCAAUUGUGACGAAGCUUUUUUGUGACGGUAGCAGUAGAAGAAGCACCGGCUAACUACGUG